UCUUAGCUCACCAAAAUGUCAGAAUUCUCGUUGGAGUGUUGGACGCUAGCCAGAGAACUCAGAAGAGUCGGUUAGGAUUUCAUUUCAGCAUGUGAUCAAAAGUUUCAACAAUUAAAUUAUUCAUCGACAAAUAUCCGUCCAAAUCAAUUUUUAAUUUUGUUUCUCGAUCCGCAAUCAUCAUACCUGGGUGUUGUACCCUUGGCAACUUUACACGUGGUUAUAACCAGAUCGCAUGGGUGCAAGAAGUGAAAAAGUGUGACAUGGAAUUGUUUCGCUUUGGAUUGGAUUAUUCAAUCUCCCCCAAAGAGUAUGAGUGCUAAUGACAUGUGACAUGCUCUCUCUGGACUCAUGUUAUUGGCACUUCUAAAUUGUUCAGUAUUCAUCAAGAAGUAGCAACUUGAAUUGUUUUCAAACUUUUCAACCACCCAAGGAACGGUUAGUAGUCUAAACAUUGAAAUUCCGUUAUCGCCCAUUUGGACUUCACAAAGAUGGAGACAGAUUCUUCCGAUACAGACACUGGUAAAAUUCGUCUCUUUUGGAAAUUUUUUAUUUUAUCAUUAAUUUUUAAUUUUACUGUUUUUUUUGUUUUUUUUAAUUGUAUUUAUUGGCUCACUCUCUGUCUCAUAUGUGACGGCCGAGCCCGCCGCAACGGCAGCGAAUCGUUGGCGACAGUCGAGAAACCCUUGACUAGCGAAUGAGGCUUCCGCGGAGAGAAUAUUUGUCUCAAGUGAUUAAUAUGCAGCAAAACAAUAUGGGUAACGGCGGCGGAAGCAGCAACGCUCCCAGAUCUCAACAGCCAGGAGCGCCGGAUAGCGGAGUAUGACCAAGACAGAACUCGUUAUCGUCUCUGGCUUUCGACUAUGGUGGAAAUAUCACCCAUUUCUUUUCCCGACACGGAAUCAAUUCAACUGAUUCGGCCGAUGUGACUUCUACUCCGCAACCACCACCAGCAACGACGACAACAUCGGUAGCCGGCAGUAACGUCAGAUAAUUUCCAGGAACUCCACCCAGGCCUGGACCUUUGGCUGUUCCCCAGUCAUUCCCUUGCGUUUCUCCAACGCGAUGAGAGGCGAAGGAUUUGUGCCUGCGGCAGAAGAAAGUCUCACUUCGCCGACUAUUGGCAGUCCCUACAAUGUCCCGCCACCUUGGAGGACUUUCCCGCGUGUCAGACAUGUUAUGGGAGGUGGAACUGGAGCUUCCAGAAUUGCUUCCGGGUAGCCGAACAAGGCCCAGGGCAACAAUACUGUACUCUUCGCCGAAAUGUGAAAUCACAAAUGUCACUCAGCGCUCAUCUGACGUACCGCAUUCAGGCCUGGGAUUUCUGCGCGAAAGACAAAUACAUCCCCGACAUCCGCGAUCCUUAGGCCAACAUUGUCCUUCCCAAAUGCAAAAUCCACAAUGACGCCAGUGUUGAUGUUUCAGCUGAUGGCCGGUUUCUCGUUACGCUCGUCCUUUCCACUUCAUUCACUGGAACUCUCAUUAGUCUGCAUAUUUUAGAACCGUCUCGUUGGGGGAUUUGUCUUUCACGAGUGAACGUCGACCAGUUUGUUGUGUCCGUCAGCAUUUCAUCAACAACCACUAUGGGACUUUCUGGGGAAACCAUUUUGAUUCACUUCGAAUGACUGUGCCCACUUGUUCCUACUUGAUUCAUUUCUCAUUUAUCUCCGUAUUCGUAGGAUUCAAUAUUCGGACAAUGUUGAGCUGUCUUCAAAUUGGAAAGCAAUCCAGCCGUUCCGUUCAUUCGUUCAUGUUUAUUAUGCUACGCACCUUGCAUCCCAGGUUCCCUCCGGGUCUCUGGGAGGAGAGCCGGAGCCCAGAGGGAGGCUUUCAGACUGCUGAAGUUAAUUGGCGACAUCACCAAGGUUUCACGUUUAAUUAUUAAAUAAUAGAUGCCUGAUUGCAAAGUUUAAAUUAAAUUAAUUACACGGCAUGUCGAUACCGAAA
rnacentral:lncRNA from 1 species